GACGAACGCUGGCGGCGUGCUUAACACAUGCAAGUCGAACGCUGAAGCUCAGCUUGCUGGGUGGAUGAGUGGCGAACGGGUGAGUAACACGUGAGUAACCUGCCCUCUUCUUUGGGAUAACGCCCGGAAACGGGUGCUAUACCGGGAAUUUACUGAUUCUCGGCUGGGGGGUGGGGGGAAGGUUUUUUCUUGGGGGGGAUGGGCUCGCGGGCUAUCAGCUUGUUGGUGGGGUGAUGGCCUACCAAGGCUUUGACGGGUAGCCGGCCUGAGAGGGUGACCGGUCACAUUGGGACUGAGAUACGGCCCAGACUCCUACGGGAGGCAGCAGUGGGGAAUAUUGCACAAUGGGCGAAAGCCUGAUGCAGCGACGCCGCGUGAGGGAUGGAGGCCUUCGGGUUGUAAACCUCUUUCGCUCAUGGUCAAGCCGCAGCUUUGGGUUGUGGUGAGGGUAGUGGGUAAAGAAGCGCCGGCUAACUACGUG
rnacentral:rRNA from 1 species